rnacentral:lncRNA from 1 species
CGCCCGGGCCGCGGACCGUGCUCAUCUUCGACGAGCUCUCGGACUCCUUGUGCAGGGUGGCCGACCUGGCCGAUUUUGUGAAGAUUGCUCACCCCGAGGCGGCGUUCAGGGAGGCUGCGGAGGAGGCUUGUCGGAGCAUCGGCACCAUGGUGGAGAAGGCGGACGGCAGGAGCCGCGGCCUGUUGAGAGGUGCUGUCGGGAGUGUCGGCCCAGUGUCUUCGCUUGACCCCACGAGGAUGGCUCUCGAUGGAGGUGGGCUCAGGCCCUAUCUGCUCUUCUGGCUGCAGCUGUCUCCUGUGGCUUUAGGUUUACACUUUUACCACCUGGGACACGUUGUUCUCGCACGCUGCCUUCCCUGUACUAACAGU